ensembl:lncRNA novel transcript
ACAUCAGCUAACAGAGCCCACCUGAAACUGCUGGGCUUGGGAAUGCUCCUGGGAGUUGAAGCCCCCAGCCGACUGGAAAGGCUAUCCCAAGAGCCAUGAGGAUUACAAUAAAAAUCACGAUGAUGUCUCGCUUUUCACAGUGCUUGGUGGUUCUUGAGCACUUGUUCUAUGCCAGGCCCUGGUCCAAAAGCAGACAUCCUCUUCAUUGUGCACCUACUAUGGGCAGACUGUCUAGAGGACCAGGCAAAGCUGCGCAAUGGCUAAAACCAUGGGUCCCAGAUUGACUGAAUUCAAGGUGGAGCUCUGCCACUUUCUAGCUGUGUGACCUCAGGCGCGGUGGCUUAUGCCUGUAAUCCCAGCACUUUGGGAGGCUGAGGCAGAUGGAUCACGAGGUCAAGAGAUCGAGACCUUCCUGGCCAACAUGCUGGAAGAAUUUUUCAAAUGGUUUUUGCGAGAAAGUUCAAACCCUGGAAUGACUAAGUCGCUGGAAGAAUUUGGACUUUGUGAGGGGAAUUUGCACUUGGUAUGAAUCACCCAGUCACUGAUUCCUGCAGUGAGAAGACCUUUCGGAAAGCUUCUGGGUCAGCCCCCUCGUACACAUGGGGAAACCGAGGCUCAAGGAGGGGAAGGACUUCAGCCAAGGUCCCACAGCAUGUCUGUGGAAAUGACAGGACUGGAAUCAGGUCUAGCUCCUGGAACAGCUUUGGAUUUGCAAGAAGCUCUCAAGCACCCAGUCUCCAUAGGUGGGCACAUUUUCCAAACAGUAGAGGAACAGAAAGAACAAGAGGGUUCUGAGGAGUUAGAACUCACCAUAGAGUUAUGGAAGGAAUGGGGAAGGGAUUGCCGGAAGGUAUUUUAUAUGAAAUAGCUCAUUUAAUCCUCCCCAGGAUCCUAUUAGGCAGUGGUUCUAAACUAGGGUUGAUUUUGCCCCCAGAGGACAUUUGGCAAGAUCAGGGGACAUUUUAGGUUUGUCACAGCUUGAGUGGGAGUUGCUACUGGCAUCUCUUGGCAGUGAAUACCCUAUGUGGUAGAGGCCAGGGAUACCGCUAAACAUCCUGCAAUGCACAGGACAGCCUCACAACAAAGAAUUAUCCAGCCCAAAAUGUCAAUAGUGUUGGGUCUGAGAAGCCCUGCUAUGCAGAGGGCGCUUGUAUAUACAUAUCAAUUUAACAGCCAAGAAAGCCGAGGCUCAGAAAGUGUAGCCACUCGCUAGCCACGUGGUCUUGGGCAAAUUAGCCUCUCUGUGUCUCAGUUUCCUUAUCUGUAAAAUGGAGGCAACAGUACCUCUGUUACCUAAAUAAACAUUUGUAAAGCACUUAGAA